rnacentral:rRNA from 1 species
GAUGAACGCUGGCGGCGUGCCUAAUACAUGCAAGUCGAGCGAACGGACGAGAAGCUUGCUUCUCUGAUGUUAGCGGCGGACGGGUGAGUAACACGUGGAUAACCUACCUAUAAGACUGGGAUAACUUCGGGAAACCGUAGCUAAUACCGGAUAAUAUUUUGAACCGCAUGGUUCAAAAGUGAAAGACGGUCUUGCUGUCACUUAUAGAUGGAUCCGCGCUGCAUUAGCUAGUUGGUAAGGUAACGGCUUACCAAGGCAACGAUGCAUAGCCGACCUGAGAGGGUGAUCGGCCACACUGGAACUGAGACACGGUCCAGACUCCUACGGGAGGCAGCAGUAGGGAAUCUUCCGCAAUGGGCGAAAGCCUGACGGAGCAACGCCGCGUGAGUGAUGAAGGUCUUCGGAUCGUAAAACUCUGUUAUUAGGGAAGAACAUAUGUGUAAGUAACUGUGCACAUCUUGACGGUACCUAAUCAGAAAGCCACGGCUAACUACGUGCCAGCAGCCGCGGUAAUACGUAGGUGGCAAGCGUUAUCCGGAAUUAUUGGGCGUAAAGCGCGCGUAGGCGGUUUUUUAAGUCUGAUGUGAAAGCCCACGGCUCAACCGUGGAGGUCAUUGGAAACUGGAAAACUUGAGUGCAGAAGAGGAAAGUGGAAUUCCAUGUGUAGCGGUGAAAUGCGCAGAGAUAUGGAGGAACACCAGUGGCGAAGGCGACUUUCUGGUCUGUAACUGACGCUGAUGUGCGAAAGCGUGGGGAUCAAACAGGAUUAGAUACCCUGGUAGUCCACGCCGUAAACGAUGAGUGCUAAGUGUUAGGGGGUUUCCGCCCCUUAGUGCUGCAGCUAACGCAUUAAGCACUCCGCCUGGGGAGUACGACCGCAAGGUUGAAACUCAAAGGAAUUGACGGGGACCCGCACAAGCGGUGGAGCAUGUGGUUUAAUUCGAAGCAACGCGAAGAACCUUACCAAAUCUUGACAUCCUUUGACAACUCUAGAGAUAGAGCCUUCCCCUUCGGGGGACAAAGUGACAGGUGGUGCAUGGUUGUCGUCAGCUCGUGUCGUGAGAUGUUGGGUUAAGUCCCGCAACGAGCGCAACCCUUAAGCUUAGUUGCCAUCAUUAAGUUGGGCACUCUAAGUUGACUGCCGGUGACAAACCGGAGGAAGGUGGGGAUGACGUCAAAUCAUCAUGCCCCUUAUGAUUUGGGCUACACACGUGCUACAAUGGACAAUACAAAGGGCAGCGAAACCGCGAGGUCAAGCAAAUCCCAUAAAGUUGUUCUCAGUUCGGAUUGUAGUCUGCAACUCGACUACAUGAAGCUGGAAUCGCUAGUAAUCGUAGAUCAGCAUGCUACGGUGAAUACGUUCCCGGGUCU